GAUGAAGAACGUAGCGAAAUGCGAUAAGUAAUGUGAAUUGCAGAAUUCAGUGAAUCAUCGAAUCUUUGAACGCACAUUGCGCCCGCCAGUAUUCUGGCGGGCAUGCCUGUUCGAGCGUCAUUUCAACCAUCAAGCCCCAGGCUUGAGUUGGGGACCUGCGGCUGCCGCAGGCCCUGAAAACCAGUGGCGGGCUCGCUGUCACACCGGGCGUAGUAGAUUUUAUCUCGCUCAGGGCGUGCUGCGGGUUCCGGCCGUUAAAAAGCCUUUUUUACCCAAGGUUGACCUCGGAUCAGGUAGGAAGACCCGCUGAACUUAAGCAUAUCAAUAAGCGGAGGA
rnacentral:misc_RNA from 1 species